UACAGAGGUGGCAAGCGUUGUUCGGAAUUACUGGGCGUAAAGGGCGCGUAGGCGGCCUCGCAAGUCCCGUGUGAAAUCCCUCGGCUCAACUGAGGAAUGGCACGGGAAACUGCGGGGCUUGAGUUCGGGAGAGGGAAGCGGAAUUCCGGGUGUAGCGGUGAAAUGCGUAGAGAUGCGGAGGAACACCGAUGGCGAAGGCAGCCCCCUGGGCCGACAUUGACGCUCAGGCACGAAAGCGUGGGGAGCAAACAGG
rnacentral:rRNA from 1 species